UUUGCAAUAAUCUCAGUCACCAUUCUAACGUGCCUGGAAUAUAUUUGUCGAUCAAUUUUUCAUAAUAAGGCCAUAAUUGUUCAAUAUCCGGAAAGUAACUGUUGAUUGAUGGUCUAUGAAAAAAA